rnacentral:tRNA from 1 species
GGGUAUAGCUCAGUGGUAGAGUGCAUGCCUAGCAUGCACGAGGUCUUGGGUUCAAAUCCCAGUACCACCA